GAUCUGACACCUAUAAAUACCGUUGCACGACUAAAAAUUCAUUUGUCAGCGACUCCCAGCUGAGUGAGUAGUGCGACUCCGAGCUCUUGUUCAGGAUCACAUCUGUAAAUAUUGACGCCCUUCUAACGAAGAACACGCAAUAUUUCACAUUUCAUCUCUGAAGCAAUGGCUUAUUACGGCGGACGCAAACAGAACUUUCGGCAGAACUACGGUGUCGGAGCUCCCAAACGUGCUCCCAAACAUUAUACUCAGAGACACAACGUUCCCAAUCCAUCCGGGUAUAAUGCACAAGAAAACCCAACUGAGAGGCAGAACCUGGCCCAUCCAGACGCGAUCAUCUCUGAGCUCAGAGAUCAGAUCAGACGGGCGCAGGAAGAGAAAACUUGGCUGAUCCAACUGAGAUCAGCGGACGCCGAAAUAUUGCAGACGGCGGAAGCAGCCCGCAGAUUGGAACGUCAGAAACUGCAGGACAACAUCAACAACCUGCAGAAACACAACCAACAACUCCGUGGUCAAAAUGAAGAUCUGAUGAAAAAACAUCAAAUGUUCUCUUCUGACCAAACAUCUUUUAAUGCAACCAAAGAAAAGCUGCAAAAGAUGCGGGAAGAAGUUCAGACUCUCCGAGACCAGAGAAAGCAGGAUCAAAAGGUGGAUUUGAUGAAGAAAUCAGUCGAUGACAGCCAGAGACUGAUAGUGGAUCCCCACAAUCUAACCGACACGCCGCCUGCAGACAUGGAGGAGCUCAGAAAAACGCAGGAAUCUUGUGAAUUUGUCACACGAAAGUUUCAAGAGGGAAACAGGAAGCUGAGUCUGGAAGUGCAGGAGCUGAGAAGAGAAAACGACCAGCUGAAGAAGAAGCUCCAAGAAGCUUCCCAACUCCAAAACAUCCAUCCUGAAAUGAGCAAGCAAAUCCAACUGACUGAAAACGAGAGGAUCCGGUUAAGCAAGCAGCUGUUUGAGGAGAUCAAAACCUCAGAGAAGCUGAAAGAAAACCUCUUUUACCUGGAAGAUCAUGUGGAUGAACUGAAGUACAAGACCAGACAGUUGGAAGAAAAUACAAACCAAUGUUUGAACAUCAACGAUUAUGAUGUGAUAAUAGAAGAGGAAUGGAUAGAAGAAGAAGAAGAGAUGGAGGAAAAUGAAGCUGUGAAAGAAAAUGUGGUUGAGGAGGAUCAAGUGUUUGUUUCUGAACCACAAGUGGCUGCAGAACCUUCCAGAAAUCUCAAGAGAACUCUGGAGAUGGACCAAACAGAAUCUCCUGCUAAAAAACAGAGGAUCUCUAGACCAGUCAAGGUCAUUACUCGUCUGGCCAAACGACGAGCUUCAAGCAACGUAAAGCCUGAGAAGGAAACAGACUCAGCAGCUUUUGGACUGCCGUGGACCUUUUUGGAUCUAACUGAGCCCAAAAUAGAAGCUCCAGUUCCAGAACCAGAACCAGAGACAGUUUCUGAAGAAGAUCUCCAAGAAGAAGAGUCAGUGACCAUGGACUUGAAAGAGCCAUCCAAUCUGGAGAGACCAAAAAUCUCUCUGUGGAGAAGGUUCAAAAAGGCUCUGACUCCAGCAAGACGGCGCAAAUACAAGGCUGACGCUCCUGUGGUCGUCCCGGAUCAACCAUCAACCGACCCGGAGGAGGAAGAAACUUCUAUUGACCAAAACCAGGAAACGUCUACAGACCAAGACCUGGAAAUGUCAGAUAUGGAAGACGAGGAAGAAAUAUCUGAUGGUGAAGAAGAAGAAACAUCAGAUGAUGAAGACGAUGAGUCCUCAGAAAACACUGGAGGACAAAAGAUUUACAUGUGGAGGAGAUUUAAAAAGGCGCUCACACCAGCAGGCAGACGCCAGUAUAAACAAUAGAGAAACAGGUUUUCUCCUUGUGCUCAGGUUCCCC
ensembl:lncRNA